GGCCAUCGGACGGCGAGGGUCUGGCGUGAACCGAACCGACCACGCAGAUAUAUUUCAAGCCAACUGUGUGUGUCCUCAAUGAAAUGAUGGCCACAACGCAAUCAUGCCGACUUGGAACGGUCCGGCCGCCCGUCGCGCUCCCUUGCUGGGUGACAAAGCGGAGACACACACACAGAGAGAGAGACAGAGAGAGAGGUGCAUGUGUGGAUCGCGUUUGACUGUGUUUGCGUUUCUUCUCACCUGUGUCUGUCUGUCUGUCUGUCUGUCAAUGGUGGAAGGGAGGGCAUCCAUCAGUGUCGACACACGUGGCGGUUGAAGGAAGGCUGGGCCUGAAAGGCAAGAAGCAAAUACACAUCGAUCGAUCAUACACGUACGAGGACACAGACACAUGGAUGCACGUAUACGUAUUAUGUAUACCAUGGUACGUAUGUAUGUAUGUACGUAUGUGUGUGGGUACGGAUGUGUGGUGUACGUAUUCAUGUGUGUACGCAUGUAUGUGUGUGCAUUGUGUAUGUAGUGAUUGAUUGAUUCGACGUAUGUAUGUGAUUCACCGUACGUUCGUCACCGCCUUUCGCUCGGCUGCUGCUUCUCAAUCACUCGUCUCUCGGAAUCAAUUAGGCCGCAUUGACUCUGCUGCGAGAUCGAUGUCGAUCGUUGGUUGAGUCACUCCUCGCCUCCUUGGAUGAGAACGACAGAGGACAGGGGCGUGCUUCCUUGUCUGCUUGGCUAGAAAGAGUGAAUGAAGCAGCCGCGUCAAGGCUUUGUCCAUCC
rnacentral:misc_RNA from 1 species